rnacentral:rRNA from 1 species
UUGACGGGGGAGCACCACAACGGGUGGAGCUUGCGGUUUAAUUGGAUUCAACGCCGGAAAUCUUACCGGGACCGACAGCAAUAUGAAGGCCAGGCUGAAGACUUUGCCGGAUUAGCUGAGAGGUGGUGCAUGGCCGUCGUCAGUUCGUACUGUGAAGCAUCCUGUUAAGUCAGGCAACGAGCGAGACCCACGCCCACAGUUGCCAGCGUACUCUCUGGAGUGACGGGUACACUGUGGGACCGCCGCUGCUAAAGCGGAGGAAGGAAUGGGCAACGGUAGGUCAGUAUGCCCCGAAUAUCCCGGGCUACACGCGAGCUACAAUGGUUGGUACAAUGGGUAUCUACCCCGAAAGGGGACGGGAAUCUCCUAAAACCAAUCUUAGUUCGGAUUGAGGGCUGCAACUCGCCCUCAUGAAGCUGGAAUCCGUAGUAAUCGCGUUUCAACAGAACGCGGUGAAUACGUCCCUGCUCCUU